rnacentral:rRNA from 1 species
UCUCACAGGUCGCCGUAGGGCUUGAACGGGACCCGGAGAUUUGGAGCUUGCUCCUUUGAGUCUGCGGGGGACGGGUGAGUAACACGUGGGUAACCUACCUAUAAGACUGGGAUAACUUCGGGAAACCGGAGCUAAUACCGGAUAACAUUUAGAACCGCAUGGUUCUAAAGUGAAAGAUGGUUUUGCUAUCACUUAUAGAUGGACCCGCGCCGUAUUAGCUAGUUGGUAAGGUAACGGCUUACCAAGGCGACGAUACGUAGCCGACCUGAGAGGGUGAUCGGCCACACUGGAACUGAGACACGGUCCAGACUCCUACGGGAGGCAGCAGUAGGGAAUCUUCCGCAAUGGGCGAAAGCCUGACGGAGCAACGCCGCGUGAGUGAUGAAGGGUUUCGGCUCGUAAAACUCUGUUAUUAGGGAAGAACAAAUGUGUAAGUAACUGUGCACAUCUUGACGGUACCUAAUCAGAAAGCCACGGCUAACUACGUGCCAGCAGCCGCGGUAAUACGUAGGUGGCAAGCGUUAUCCGGAAUUAUUGGGCGUAAAGCGCGCGUAGGCGGUUUCUUAAGUCUGAUGUGAAAGCCCACGGCUCAACCGUGGAGGGUCAUUGGAAACUGGGAAACUUGAGUGCAGAAGAGGAAAGUGGAAUUCCAUGUGUAGCGGUGAAAUGCGCAGAGAUAUGGAGG